CACGUAGUUAGCCGUGGCUUAUUCGUCAGGUACCGUCAUCAUCUUCCCUGACAAAAAGAGGUUUACAACCCGAAGGCCUUCAUCCCUCACGCGGCGUUGCUGCGUCAGACUUUCGUCCAUUGCGCAAAAUUCCCGACUGCUGCCUCCCGUAGGAGUCUGGGCCGUGUCUCAGUCCCAGUCUGGGUGAUCGUCCUCUCAGACCACCUACCGAUCGUCGCCUUGGUGAGCCGUUACCCCACCAACGAGCUAAUCGGACGCAGGCCCCUCCCGAAGCGCCUUGCGGCUUUACUGGUGUGAUCGAACACACCACCACAUGCGGUAUUAGCCACCCUUUCGGGCAGUUAUUCCCCACUUCGGGGUAGGUCACCUACGCGUUACUCAGCCGUCCGCCACUAACGAUCAGAGCAAGCCCUCAUCGUCCGUUCGACUUGCAUGUCUCAUGCACGCCGCCAGCGUUUAUCCUGAGCCAGGAUCAAACUC
rnacentral:rRNA from 1 species